AUUGAACGCUGGCGGCAUGCCUUACACAUGCAAGUCGAACGGCAGCACGGGGCAACCUGGUGGCGAGUGGCGAACGGGUGAGUAAUGCAUCGGAACGUGCCAUUGAGUGGGGGAUAACGUAGCGAAAGUUGCGCUAAUACCGCAUAUUCUGUGAGCAGGAAAGCAGGGGACCGCAAGGCCUUGCGCUCUUUGAGCGGCCGAUGUCAGAUUAGCUAGUUGGUGAGGUAACGGCUUACCAAGGCGACGAUCUGUAGCGGGUCUGAGAGGAUGAUCCGCCACACUGGAACUGAGACACGGUCCAGACUCCUACGGGAGGCAGCAGUGGGAAUUUGGACAAUGGGCGCAAGCCUGAUCCAGCCAUGCCGCGUGAGUGAAGAAGG
rnacentral:rRNA from 1 species